rnacentral:misc_RNA from 1 species
GUCAACAGAUGCUAUUUCCCCACAAUGGGAAAGUAAAAGCUUGAGAAAUUUAGCAACAUCGUCACAGUCAACACAUCUAAAGGUCACCAUCUUUCUCUUAUACUUUGAUCCCUCGGCAAGAAAAAAUCUAUUAUAAUAAAAGGGAAAUUUCUCCUGUAACUGUUUUAUCUCCACUUUCGGAUUCGGAUUCGGGACAAAACCCUUUGCACGUUUCUGAUAUACUAAGUCAUACAUUGGAUCUCUACGCAUAAAGUAAUCGACUUCCGGGGGAUCAUCACACUUGAGCAUCAAAAAUGAAAACUCUUCACAUAUCCGUUUUUCCAUUUCUUUUGCCGAUAUUUCUGCAGUGCUAUUAGUCUUCUGAUUUCUGAUGUACGUGGGUGCUAUUUCACUAAAAUAUGUAUUUACCAAUUCCCGGUUGAGCGUAUCUGCAGCAUGCAGAAUAUCUUCUUCAUCAAGCAUCUUGAAUCUUUCAUCAGCUUUUACCUCCUCAACUACCCCAUUAAUUGAUUCAUCUGGUACGCAGAGGUGACGUUGGAC